GGGGAAUAAAAUAUCACCGGGAGCGCCCCUCUUUGGCCAAGGAGCGUUACUGGCAACGCUGCCUUUUAUUGAAUUAGGUGCUGAUCGGAUGGAUCGGACGGGAUGCCCGAAAGAGCAAAUUCAGCAGGGGAGUCCAUGGCAAGACUGAAGUCCAAGUUUCCACUGCCAAUGGGAGCAACACGUACAACAUGGCCAGCAGAUCAAGUCCCCACGGCAAAUUAAACAGGACUGAUGUACUGCCCUCUCCUGGACAAUGCCUGCCAUGACUGCUGUAAUGUGGGUCACAGACGGAAUCCUGCAGCACUGCAUUUCAUUCCCACCAGUGGGGUUGCCGCAGGUGAUAAUUUUAUUUGGGGUAGUGGGGUCAGUAUCAAGAUUCAAAACCUAGUCUGUGUCAAAGGAGGCUACAAAGUUUGCUGCAAUAUACUACUGACAUACUGUUAUACCAAAUACAUGCUGUGCGUGACAAAGCAGCACGUUCCCCUCCCUGAAUAAGAUAAGUCAAACUUUCCCAAGACCCUGCUCCUUUAGCCUUACAGUUUACACCACACAAAGUCCAAACUUUCAACUGCAGACCUUUAGUGAGGAGCAACAGAAUGUUUAAGCCUCACAGUUUGGUUACUGAAGUUCUUAGGAAAUUUGUUCUGAUUUGUGCAAUAAGAGACUUUUCCAAGAACAAUAGCAUUCACCAACCUUGGGAACAAUCAGGCCAUUUUAACUGUCUAUACUGUAUAUAUAAUACUCUCCCAAAGUCUUAGGCAGUCAAACAAAAUGUUUAAGGCUAUUUUCCUGAGUAGUAAGUGUAUAUUUGUGCAUAAAAACACAUUAACAAUGAACAUAUGCCACUUAAGAGUAACAUAAUAAAAUAUAAUGAAUUUC